AAUCAACGCUGGCGGCGUGCCUCAGACAUGCAAGUCGAACGAUUAAAGCUCUCUUCGGAGAGUGCAUAGAGUGGCGCACGGGUGAGUAACACGUAAGUAAUCUACCUUCGAGUGGGGAAUAACGUCCGGAAACGGGCGCUAAUACCGCAUAAUGCAGCGGCAUCGCAAGAUGACAGUUGUUAAAGGAGCAAUCCGCUUGAAGAGGAGCUUGCGGCAGAUUAGCUAGUUGGUAGGGUAAUGGCCUACCAAGGCUACGAUCUGUAACCGGUCUUAGAGGACGGUCGGUCACACUGACACUGAAUAACGGGUCAGACUCCUACGGGAGGCAGCAGUCGGGAAUUUUGGGCAAUGGGGGAAACCCUGACCCAGCAACGCCGCAUGAAGGAUGAAGUAUUUCGGUAUGUAAACUUCGAAAGAAUAGGAAGAAUUAAUGACGGUACUAUUUAUAAGGUCCGGCUAACUACGUAGCCAGCAGCCGCGGUAAAG
rnacentral:rRNA from 1 species